UACAGAGGGGGCAAGCGUUAUUCGGAAUUAUUGGGCGUAAAGGGCGCGUAGGCGGCGAUUCAAGUGACGGGUGAAAUCCCUCGGCUUAACCGAGGAACUGCCUGUCAGACUGGAUUGCUUGAGGCCGGGAGAGGCGAGUGGAAUUCCCAGUGUAGCGGUGAAAUGCGUAGAUAUCAGGAGGAACACCGAUGGCGAGGGCAGCUCGCUGGGACGGUACUGACGCUGAGACGCGAAAGCGUGGGGAGCAAACAGG
rnacentral:rRNA from 1 species